GCCCGUCUAGCUCAGUCGGUAGAGCGCAAGGCUCUUAACUGGACUUGGGUUUGAGCCCCAAGGUGGGCG
rnacentral:tRNA from 1 species